UCUCAGCGUGCAUCAUUGGUAAUAUGGAAUCCUUGGAAUACCACAUUUGACCGAUAAAACUAUUAAUUCUUCACCGAGAGCUUAUAUAUAGUUCGAUGGAAAUAUGAGAGCUUAAAGCCUUAAACGCAUGUUAGCUAUUGAAAAUUUGCCUACGCAACAUAGGUAAGUUAUCUUAUAGUUACAAGAUGUACGCAAUGUGAAGUUAAGGGCCCCAAUGAAAUUUGAUAUCUGAGAAACAAAUAUAUG
rnacentral:lncRNA from 1 species